AGCGAACGCUGGCGGCAGGCUUAACACAUGCAAGUCGAGCGGGCGUAGCAAUACGUCAGCGGCAGACGGGUGAGUAACGCGUGGGAACGUACCUUUUGGUUCGGAACAACCCAGGGAAACUUGGGCUAAUGCCGGAUAAGCCCUUACGGGGAAAGAUUUAUCGCCAAAAGAUCGGCCCGCGUCUGAUUAGCUAGUUGGUGAGGUAACGGCUCACCAAGGCGACGAUCAGUAGCUGGUCUGAGAGGACGAUCAGCCACACUGGGACUGAGACACGGCCCAGACUCCUACGGGAGGCAGCAGUGGGGAAUCUUGCACAAUGGGCGAAAGCCUGAUGCAGCGACGCCGCGUGAGGGAAGAAGGCUUUCGGGUUGU
rnacentral:rRNA from 1 species